CAGCAGUCGCGGUAAUACGUAGGGUGCAAGCGUUAUCCGGAUUCACUGGGCGUAAAGUGUCGUGUAGGCGGUAUACCGCAUCGUGUCUGAAAGCCCGAGGCUUAACCUCGGCGUUGGACACGAGAUGGGUAAACUUAGAGGAAUGGAGAGGAAAGGGGAACUCAUGGUGAAGCAGUGAAAUGCGUUGAUAUCAUGAGGAACACCGAAGGCGAAGGCACCUUUCUGGCCAUUAACUGACGCUGAGACACGAAAGCUAGGGGAGCGAAGCAGAUUAGAGACCUGCGUAGUCCUAGCCCUAAACGCAUGUCUGCUAGAUGCCCUGCCGCAAGGCGGGGUGUCGUAAGCUAACGCGUUAAGCAGACCGCCUGGGGACUACGAGCGCAAGCUUAAAACUCAAAGGAAUUGACGGGGACCCGCACAACCAGUGGAGCGUGUGGUUCAAUUCGAGACAAAGCGAAGGACCUCACCAGGGUUUGACAUGUUACCGUUUUAACCACCCAGAAAUGGGAGGCUAUCCGCAAGGAUGGUAGCACAGCUGCUGCAUGGCUGUCGUCAGCUCGUGCCGUGGGGUGUUCCCUUAAGUGGGACAACGAGCGCAACCCCUAUCCGAUGUUACAAGUGUCAUCGGAGACCGCCCCCUCUCAAAGUGUUGAAGCAUAUGAACGAUAAACGAAAACAACGAGAAUAACGAAAACAACAACCUGUUUUGUUAUUUUCGUUUGUUGUUGAAUUGUUUAUAGUUCAAAAAGCUUUCAGCUUUUUGAGAGGGGGAGGAAGGAGGGGACGACGUCAAGUCAGCACGGCGCUUAUGCCCUGGGCCACACACACCCUACAAUGGCGAACAACAACGGGACGCAAGGUAGUAAUGCCAAGCAAAUCUCUGAAAUUUCGCCUCAAUUCAGAUUGAGGUCUGCAACUCGACCUCAUGAAGUUGGAAUUGGUAGUAAUCGCGGAUCAGCAGGCCGCGGUGAAUACGUUCUCGGGUCUUGUACACACCGCCCGUCAAGCCACCAAAGUUGAAGGCGGCCGAAUAUCUAUUUAUAGGUAGAAGCCGAAUUUAGCGAUGGGGACUAAGUCGUAACAAGGUAUCCCUAGCCGAAGCUGGGGAUG
rnacentral:rRNA from 2 species